CCCCCCAAUUAAGUAUCUGAUUUUCUGAUGCCUGGAAUGCUUUGGAGAGGUGUCUAUGUUAUAGAGCCGCCCUCCAGAAAUUAAUAGGCAGUAUGGUUUGCACCUGAACCAGACGUAAUAAUAAAAUCGUUUGUUUGGGUAUAACUGUGCUUGUCUUAACCCACCCAUUUUUUUUUUUUCUUU
rnacentral:misc_RNA from 1 species